AUUGAACGCUGGCGGCAGGCCUAACACAUGCAAGUCGAACGAGCGGCGGACGGGUGAGUAAUAUCUGUGAAACUGCCUGCUGGAGGGGGAUAACAACUGGAAACGGUAACUAAUACUGCAUACCAUCAAAUUUUCCCCGAUUGGAUUAGCUGGUAGGUGGGGUAACGGCGCACAUAGGCGACGAUCCCUCGCUGGUCUGAGAGGAUGACCAGCAACACGGGAACGGGGAAACGGUCAAGCCUCCUACGGAAGGAAGAAGUGGGGAAUAUGGCAAAAUGGGCGCAAGCCUGAUGCAGCCAUGCCGGGUGUGGGAAGAAGGCCUUCGGGUUGUAAAGCACGUUCAGCGGGGAGGCGUUACCCGCAGAAGAAGCACCGGCUAACUCCGUGCCAGCAGCCGCGGUAAUUC
rnacentral:rRNA from 1 species